UGUUCUGUGGCUUAGUUGGUUCAAGCGCCGGACGAGCGAUACGGAGUCGUAAGUUCAAACCCAACCAAAACAA
rnacentral:tRNA from 1 species